CUACGGGGGGCACCAGUGGGGAAUAUUGCACAAUGGGCGCAAGCCUGAUGCAGCCAUGCCGCGUGUAUGAAGAAGGCCUUCGGGUUGUAAAGUUCUUUCAGCGGGGAGGAAGGGAGUAAAGUUAAUACCUUUGCUCAUUGACGUUACCCGCAGAAGAAGCACCGGCUAACUCCGUGCCAGCAGCCGCGGUAAUACGGAGGGUGCAAGCGUUAAUCGGAAUUACUGGGCGUAAAGCGCACGCAGGCGGUUUGUUAAGUCAGAUGUGAAAUCCCCGGGCUCAACCUGGGAACUGCAUCUGAUACUGGCGAGCUCGAGUCUCGUAGAGGGGGGUAGAAUUCCAGGUGUAGCGGUGAAAUGCGUAGAGAUCUGGAGGAAUACCGGUGGCGAAGGCGGCCCCCUGGACGAAGACUGACGCUCAGGUGCGAAAGCGUGGGGAGCAAACAGGAUUAGAUACCCUAGUAGUC
rnacentral:rRNA from 1 species